GAUCAAUUCGAUCGUCAAUGAGUAUUCGUGAUGGCUAUAAUUUUCAUAAUCAAUAACACAAGCAAUAACGAAUGGGAUCGGUGGUGAAGCUUUGCAAGAAGAUUAAUUCAACGUCACAAGUUUAUUUGAUCCUGGUUGGAUCAAUUAAUGAAUUGAGUAAUAUUAAUAAUAAUAGUAGUAGUAGUAGUAGUAGCAGUGGCAAUAAUAAUAAUAAUAAUAAUAAUAAUAAUAACAGUAGAUGCUAGCGUAAACUAAUUUAUCAUAUAAAUUCCUUCGAUAAACAAGUUUGCGACGUUGAAUAAUCGUCGUAUUAAUCGUCGACUUAUUCUUAAUGUCAAUCUCAAUUAAAACUAUUCAAUAGUUUGCAUAUGGAUAAACACUUACGUAUUCUUAAAUGAUAAUCUAUUAUAGUAGGUAAGGUAGGUUGGGUUUAGCGAUGUCAAUACAUACAUUUGGUGUGUAAUAAAUAUUUGUAAUUAACAUUUUCAUCUUUUUUCAAAUAGAUAUAUAUAUAUAUAUUUAUUUAUAUAUAUGUAUGUAUACUUCCUUACCUAAUAUGUUUCUAUUAUUUCAUUGUUAUUCGGAUAUAACGUUGUCUAUCCACAUAACACGUACAUACGUAACUGAAGUAAAAAAAGAAAUGGAUAUAAUAAGUCCAAUAGAUGCUAGCCUACGCACGAGUAUAUGGACACAAAUAUAUAUAAUUCGAUGAAUAAUCGAAUAACGAAUUGUAUCGUACGAAAUGUCACGUUAUUUGCAGAAUUAUAAUUAGCGACUGAAAAUUAUGUAAAUCAGGAAAAUAUAUCGAAGCUUUUUCGUCA